CCGAGUUUACAACUCCCAACCCCUGUGAACAUACCUAAGUUGCUUCGGCGGCAGCGUCCCGGCGCACUCGUGCCCGGAAUCAGGCGCCCGCCGGAGGCCAAAAAACCACUGUUUCAGUCUUCUGUUAUUAUCUGAGUCAAAAAACAAAUAAAUCA
rnacentral:misc_RNA from 1 species